UACGAAGGGUGCAAGCGUUACUCGGAAUUACUGGGCGUAAAGCGUGCGUAGGUGGUUUGUUAAGUCUGAUGUGAAAGCCCUGGGCUCAACCUGGGAAUUGCAUUGGAUACUGGCAGGCUAGAGUGCGGUAGAGGAUGGCGGAAUUCCCGGUGUAGCAGUGAAAUGCGUAGAGAUCGGGAGGAACACCCGUGGCGAAGGCGGCUCACUGGGCUGACCUUGACGCUGAGGCGCGAAGGCGUGGGGAGCGAACGGG
rnacentral:rRNA from 1 species